rnacentral:lncRNA from 1 species
CAGUUCUCCCAAAAUGCUGAAUGCAAAGAUUAUUGCAUUCAUCUUGUGUGCAGCCUGGAUUUGGAAAUGACUGCUCACACUCUCAGCUCUGUCCCAUCAUCAGCUGAUUGCCUGUAAUCAUAAAACACACGUCUGAUUAAUGAUUAAUCUGCACACCAUUCAAAGGCUCAUUUCUUUACAGUUCUAUCCUACUUUUGUUUUUUAAUGCUAAAGGGCUGCAUAGAUUUAGUGAAUAAUGGAAACCUUACCAAAAGAAAGUAACAGAAGCAGUAAAACGGCGGAGAAGGAGAAGGAGAAGCUCCUCAUGGCUUCAAUUUGUUUUGUCUGUGGCAGUGCGUUGGUUCAAGACUACAGGGACCGUAUGGUUUCUGCUAUUUAAAAGAAGUUGAGAAUGUAAGAUUCAUUGCUUGGAAUUCUAAGUUCUUGUUGCUUUUGACAUAAAAGGGAAGAUAUAUGCUGGAUCAAGGUUGUUUUCUUCGAUUAUAUCCAACAAAUAUAGUUGUAAAAUUCAUCAUACAUGGAAGUUGAAUUAUAGUGAUUACUCGUAUAUGGUCAGACACCUGAAUUUCCAACUAGAAAAAUAGUAAAAACUUGUGUUGAGCCUAAGACAGUAAAUUACAAAGAUUCACAAUGACAUAACAACUAAAGCAAAAAAAAACAAUGUCCAAUGAUCACAAAGUAAAUUUGGGUCUUAUGUUUCUUAUAACAGAUAUGGUAGAAUGCAUCACCAAAUGCAAAAAUGCCUCUGAUAGAAGAUAUGAACUCACUUGAACUGCCAUCAGCAGCUCUCAAAUUAAAAACAAAUGUUCAUAGACCUGGAAGCUCUCAAAUUGCAUGCCAAGAUGGAUUUUGAAAAAAUAAUAAAUGAAUGAGCAAAGGAAUAGAACUUCCAAACAAUGAUUUGGAAGUUCAACUUCAUGCCAGAAAAACAGAGCCAAAUGCAAUUGUACUAAACAAAUACAACUUCAGCAGCCUCACACUUUCCUGGUCUUUUUAACCUUUUCUUGUUUUCUUUCUUCUAAAUAAAAGAAAAAAAAAAAGAAAUACAGAAAAACCUAUUAAGAUUAGGGCAUUCUUUAUGGAAAGAUAAAAAUAUAAAAACAUACUGAUUAAGUUAAAGCUGUUACUGAUAGACUAGCCAAUUAAGGAAUAUCACACAAUAAAAGUUCAAAAUGAUGCAUGCAGUAAAUUAGGAGAAAGAAGAAAAAAGAAUUAAGCAAUUGAGCUAUUACACUAAAAAGAAAUGCGAAAAUAAACUCCACUGAAAGGCCUCAAUAAUGUUCAUGAAAGAACUUUUAAAACAAAAAAUAUAUAGUAAAUAAAGAUAUACAUUAUAGACAAAACUCAAAAGUAUACGAAAUGAAAC